rnacentral:rRNA from 1 species
GGUGAACGCUGGCGGCGUGCCUAAGACAUGCCAGUCGAGCGGGGCAGGUUUAUACCUGUUCAGCGGCGGACGGGUGAGUAACGCGUGGGUGACCUACCCGGAAGAGGCGGACAACCUGGGGAAACCCAGGCUAAUCCGCCAUGUGGUCCUGUCCUGUGGGGCAGGACUAAAGGGUGGAUAGCCCGCUUCCGGAUGGGCCCGCGUCCCAUCAGCUAGUUGGUGGGGUAAAGGCCCACCAAGGCGACGACGGGUAGCCGGUCUGAGAGGAUGGCCGGCCACAGGGGCACUGAGACACGUGCCCCACUCCUACGGGAGGCAGCAGUUAGGAAUCUUCCGCAAUGGACGGAAGUCUGACGGAGCGACGCCGCUGGGAGGAGGAAGCCCUUCGGGGUGUAAACUCCUGAACUGGGGACGAAAGCCCUGUGUAGGGGGAUGACGGUACCCAGGUAAUAGCGCCGGCCAACUCCGUG